ACGCUCGACACCUACGGGAGACAGCAGUGGGGAAUAUUGCACAAUGGGGGAAACCCUGAUGCAGCAACGCCGCGUGAAGGAAGAAGGUUUUCGGAUCGUAAACUUCUAUCAAUAGGGAAGAAAGAAAUGACGGUACCUAAAUAAGAAGCCCCGGCUAACUACGUGCCAACAGCCGCGGUAAUCUGAGCGGGCUGGCAAGGC
rnacentral:rRNA from 1 species